rnacentral:rRNA from 1 species
AGCUUAUUUUGCGCAGCUUAGGUGGGAGGCUAUGAACCUUUUCUUCUGGGAAGAGGGGAGCCGUCAGUGAGAUACCACUCUUGGUAAGCUAGAGCGCUCAGUCUUAACCGUCAUCCGGUAAGACGACAGUUUCAGGCGGGCAGUUUGACUGGGGCAGUCACCUCCCAAAAGGUAAUGGAGGUGUGCAAAGGUUCCCUCAGGCUGGACGGAAAUCAGCCAUAGAGUGUAAAAGCAAAAGGGAGCUUGACUGCGAGACUGACAUGUCAAGCAGAGACGAAAGUCGGCUUUAGUGAUCCGACGGUGCUGUGUGGAAAGGCCGUCGCUCAACGGAUAAAAGUUACUCUAGGGAUAACAGG